CACUUCAUACCUUUGGUGAUAUUGUAGCCAAUGAGGUUUAUCUGAGGUGUGAGUAUUGCUAAUUGAAAACUUUUCCCAACACUCCGCCAUGACGACUUGCAAUAUAGUAGGCAUUGGCAAAAAAAAA
rnacentral:snRNA from 1 species